GACGGGUGAGUAACGCGUGGGUAACCUGCCUCACACUGGGGGAUAACAGUUAGAAAUAGCUGCUAAUACCGCAUAAGCGCACAGCUCCGCAUGGAGCAGUGUGAAAAACUCCGGUGGUACAAGAUGGACCCGCGUCUGAUUAGCUGGUUGGUGAGGUAACGGCCCACCAAGGCGACGAUCAGUAGCCGGCCUGAGAGGGUGAACGGCCACAUUGGGACUGAGACACGGCCCAAACUCCUACGGGAGGCAGCAUG
rnacentral:rRNA from 1 species